rnacentral:tRNA from 1 species
UCCCUUGUGGUCUAGUGGUUAGGAUUCCUGGCUUUCAUCCAGGAGGCUCGGGUUCGAUUCCUGGCAUGGAAA